rnacentral:lncRNA from 1 species
GGUGAUUAAGCAUGACAUGGCUAGGAUGCGGGUUUCCGAGGACAUGACCCUUGAUAGGAAAGUCUAGAGGUCUAGUAUCAGGGUUGUAGGAUAGGGGCUCCUAGAGUUUUUCGUACUCCUCACGCGGGUUUGGGUGAGGCUUGGCAGGAAUAUCCAUAGAUGAUAUGUGUAUUGGAUUGUGUUUCCCUUAUGGUAGUAAUUAUGGUAGUUACUGUCUGAUAUUAUUGCAUGCUAUUUUAUGUAUGGUUCUUAUGUUUAGAUAAUUAUUUACGCUA